GCCGUGGUCGAAACUUGCUGGCGGUUUCUUGCUCACCUUUCCCGUUUCCCCUUUCAAAAGGGAUGAAGAGGAAGGUUAUCAUGGCUUAGGGCCGGAGCACCCACGGUAGUCACCAAGUGUGGAGUCCAGGGGACAGUUUGUCCUGAAGGGUGAGGAAGAGCUGGGAUGGAAUGGAGGAGCAGUGAAGGCAUGUUGGAAGCAGGAUGGGGGGGGGGGGGGCGGGCAGCCAGCGGGCCAGAAGGGUCACCAGCGGUGACUGAGGGGAUGCCUCGCCAAAGUCUCUGGCCUUGAACCUGGGACCUGCUUGGGCCUCCAUCACCUGCAUGGAGAGAAGAAACACAGUUAAGAGUGGGGAGUAGUGGAGCCACAAGCAGAACUGAGGUUUGGGGUCUGGGAGCCAAGAUCCCAAGGCAAGUGGGCAAACUUGCAUGGUUGGCCCCACGUGCCGGCCCUUUCCUUGGCUGGAGUGCUGAAUGGGAGGUUCAAGGAGACUGGAGAAUGAAACAGCAGGUGCAUUCUGGGAUGCUUUUAUCCUAAUAAAACUCCUCCAAAGACUUUGCUGUUUUCCCUCUGCUCGAUAGCCAGGAUCUGGUUUCAGACCUGCCACCCCAUUCUCUCAGCAACACCUCCCUGCUUGGUGCUUGUCCCCAGCUGACCUCCAUCCAUUUCUAUCAUGUUUUAGACAGAAGCAUGAAGAGACCUGUGUGAGGUCAGACCGUGAAUGUCACAGCCAGAAAUCCGUCUCCACCACUUCUGCUACCUUCUCCAUCAUGCCACUUCCCACAAGGACCAGGGCAACACAGAUUAGCAUCUUUGCACCUUCUUGUGUGAAGCACAAGUUAAGUAAAACAAAAUAUAAGCGUGGUUGUGCAAAUGAGAAAUAUAAUGGAGUGAAAUGAGCUUUUCCUGUUAGUAAGAAUAGCAAGCAGCAACCAAAAGGAAACCAGUGGAAGUGAAUCAGCUUGGCUUUGAAUGAUUGGAUGUGUGACAAAAUAUCGACAUGGGGAAAAUGUGCACACGGCUGCCUAAGGAGAUUUACAUUUAAUAAAAUGCUCUCUAAAGAAAUAGAAUAUCA
rnacentral:lncRNA from 1 species